ensembl:lncRNA
GUUCUGACAUACCCGGACCGCCUAUUGAGAUUGCCUUUGUUAUGUCAGACUGGCGUUAAACGAGAUGAGUGCCACUUGAUCUUGUUCUCCUGUUGCUUGUGCUACACAGCUCGGGAGCAGGUAACAGGUCCGUCUGUAUUCCCCCAAAACUGAGAAAUCGUUGGACAGCCUACCACGGCUGGACUCGCACCCUGUUAGCCUACAUUCAGCUAGGUGACUCAACCCGCUUCAUCGUGAUCUUGACCAUUCUACGGCGGCCUAUUACUUCAGUUAACAGACUGCUGAAAACACGCAUCGUGGCUGUAUCUAUUGGGACCAGGCUGCGAUGCUCACAGCCGCAUACUGUAGGUUGUUAUGCAGGUGUGUGAUGUUGGUCCAGAGUCCAGAGGAAGGCCGGGCCGAGCCACAGCUCCACAGACUCCGGGGCGACCCGCUGCUAGAUUACUGAGGGAUUACAUGGACACCCAUUAACCUAAUGCCACCAGCCCGCGACUGAGUGGGAAGCCUGGCUGCGCCGACCAGCGGGGGAGUUGCUAUGGGAGAAGAGGGAUCCUCCA